rnacentral:rRNA from 1 species
GCAUAUCAAUAAGCGGAGGAAAAGAAACUAACAAGGAUUCCCCUAGUAACUGCGAGUGAACCGGGAAAAGCUCAAAUUUAAAAUCUGGCAGCCUUGGCUGUCCGAGUUGUAAUCUGGAGAAGCGUCUUCCGCGCUGGACCGUGUACAAGUCUCCUGGAACGGAGCGUCAUAGAGGGUGAGAAUCCCGUCUUUGACACGGACUACCAGUGCUCUGUGAUGCGCUCUCAAAGAGUCGAGUUGUUUGGGAAUGCAGCUCAAAAUGGGUGGUAAACUCCAUCUAAAGCUAAAUAUUGGCGAGAGACCGAUAGCGAACAAGUACCGUGAGGGAAAGAUGAAAAGCACUUUGGAAAGAGAGUUAAACAGUACGUGAAAUUGCUGAAAGGGAAACGCUUGAAGUCAGUCGCGUUUGCUAGGACUCAGCCUUGCCUCGGCUUGGUGCAUUUCCUAGUAGACGGGCCAGCAUCACUUUUGGCUGCGGGAAAAAGGUUAGAGGAAUGUGGCACCCUCGGGUGUGUUAUAGCCUCUAGCUGUAUACCGUGGCUGGGAGUGAGGAACUCAGCACGCCUUCUGGCGGGGCUUCGGCCACCUUCGUGCUUAGGAUGCUGGCGUAAUGGCUUUAAACGACCCGUCUUGAAACACGGACCAAGGAGUCUAACAUGCCUGCGAGUGUUUGGGUGGAAAACCCGAGCGCGUAAUGAAAGUGAAAGUUGGGACCUCUGUCGUGGAGGGCACCGACGCCCGGACCAGACCUUCUGUGACGGAUCCGCGGUAGAGCAUGUAUGUUGGGACCCGAAAGAUGGUGAACUAUGCCUGAAUAGGGUGAAGCCAGAGGAAACUCUGGUGGAGGCUCGUAGCGAUUCUGACGUGCAAAUCGAUCGUCAAAUUUGGGUAUAGGGGCGAAAGACUAAUCGAACCAUCUAGUAGCU